rfam:Diaporthe ampelina DA_912_scaffold_v01_532, whole genome shotgun sequence.
CUCUGGAUAGCUCAGCUGGAAGAGCGAUGGACUGUAAUUGUUAAAACCGCCAUCCACAGGUCGCGUGUUCAAGUCACGCUCCGGAGA